UGGGCUGUCGCCAAGAGGUAAGGCAAAGGACUUUGACUCCUUCAUUCGCGGGUUCGAAUCCCGCCAGCCUAG
rnacentral:tRNA from 1 species